rnacentral:ncRNA from 1 species
AAAACACCCAUUAACAUAAGAUCUUGGUCCCAAACCUAGUAUUAUCUAAACCCCAUACUUAUACAUGCACGCCUCAACACAACAGUGAAACAGCCCACCACAACCAACAACGGAGCCGAUAUCAGGCAAGCCUGCCCACAACAUCAAGCACCCAAGCCACACCCCCACGGGCCCGCAGCAGUAGUUAACAUUAGGCCAUAAGCGUAAGCUUGACCUAGUAAUGGGGUCCUAGGGCCGGUUAAUCUCGUGCCAGCGACCGCGGUUAUACGACAGACCCAAGACAAUACCACCGGCGUAAAGCACGACUAAAACCCAAGUUAUUACAAUAGGGAUAAAGACAAGCCAGGCUGUAAAAAGCCAUAAGCCACACUAAACAUACAACCCUAAUACCAAACAACUUCAACUCGUGAAAGCCAGGAUACAAACUAAGAUUAGAUACCUUACUAUGCCUGACCAUAACAAAACAGUUAAAUUACCAACUGUUCGCCAAAUAACUACGAGUAAAAACUUAAAAUUUAAAAGACUUGACGGUACUUCACACCAACCUAGAGGAGCCUGUCUAAUAACCGAUGACCCACGAUUAACCCAACCAACUCUGGCCCAACAGUCUAUAUACCGCCGUCGCCAGCUUACCUUGUGAGAGAACCAAAGUAAGCCAAACAACCCCUACAUUAACACGACAGGUCGAGGUGUAACUAAUGAGGUGGAUUAAGAUGGGCUACACUCUCUAACUCAGAAAAAACGAACAGACUAUGAAACUAGAAACAGAAGGCGGAUUUAGCAGUAAGUUAGGAAUAGACACACCCAACCGAAAUUAAUGCAAUGAAGUACGCACACACCGCCCGUCAUCCCUGCAAAACACCAUACAUAUCCAUAAAAACCAACUACCACCCACACAGGGCAAGUCGUAACAAGGUAAGCGUAC